GGAUAACAACGGGAAACCGUUGCUAAUACCGCGUACGAUUCAUGAACGGCAUCGUUUAUGAAUGAAAGGUGGCCCCUAUGUAUAAGCUAUCGCUGAAGGAGGGGAUUGCGUCUGAUUAGCUAGUUGGAGGGGUAACGGCCCACCAAGGCAAUGAUCAGUAGCCGGUCUGAGAGGAUGAACGGCCACAUUGGGACUGAGACACGGCCCAA
rnacentral:rRNA from 1 species